UGAUCUGGGCAAUAUGUAAAUUUCGGCCCUACCUCUAUGGUAGACCAUUCAGAGCAGUCAGCGAUCACCAUUCGCUUUGCUGGCUGGCGAAUCUCAAGGAUCCAUCCGGACGACUAGCAAGAUGGAGCCUUAGGCUUCAAGAGUAUGACAUUACUGUCGUAUACCGAUCCGGGAGGAAACACAGCGAUGCCGACUGCUUGUCACGCGCACCCGUCGUGACAACUGUGUCAGAAGAAGAGGAUUUCCCGUUCCUUGGCAUUGUUGACAAGUCACAAAUUGCUCAACAACAACGAGAUGACCCGGAAUUGCUUCCACUUAUACAGCGCCUGGAGGGACUCGACGAAACACAGCGAUGCCGACUGCUUGUCACGCGCACCCGUCGAGACAACUGUGUCAGAAGAAGAGGAUUUCCCGUUCCUUGGCAUUGUUGACGAGUCACAAAUUGCUCAACAACAACGAGAUGACCCGGAAUUGCUUCCACUUAUACAGCGCCUGGAGGGACUCGACGAAACACAGCGAUGCCGACUGCUUGUCACGCGCACCCGUCGAGACAACUGUGUCAGAAGAAGAGGAUUUCCCGUUCCUUGGCAUUGUUGACGAGUCACAAAUUGCUCAACAACAACGAGAUGACCCGGAAUUGCUUCCACUUAUACAGCGCCUGGAGGGACUCGACGUUCAACUGCCGCGUAUUUUCUCUAGGGGGCUAUCCUCGUUCUGUCUGCGAGGAAGUGUCCUCUACAAGAGAAACUUCGAGAACAGCGAGACAAAGUUUUUACUUGUCGUACCCACAUCUAUGCGAGAAGAAAUUUUGCAUGCAUGUCACGAUGAGCCGACGUCUGGACACAUGGGCGUGAGCCGUACAGUCGCCAGGAUUCGUCUGAAAUACUACUGGCCCAAGUUAAUAGCAUCAGUGCAGCACUACGUCAAGACUUGUCGCGAGUGUCAA
rnacentral:lncRNA from 1 species